ACCCAUCCCAACAACCAAAAUGACCCCUUAAGUCUAUGAGUUACGUAACUAAACGACCUCUUUCUACAAACAUUAUGUUUGUAUACAAAUAAAGGGUCAAAGACCCUAAGGCGCCGUCUGCUCCUUCUCUGCAUUUUUGCCUAAAUCAGUAACGGAACAGUGUACGUCCAUGUAGCUACUUUGUUGUUCGUCCAUUUUGGGCAAGAGAAAUUAAUGCUCUUUCUCUCUCUCAUCCAUCUCAACCGUAGAAACACCAAGAGGUGUGGAGGAGAAGAGGAUUUCCCCAUUGUUCCAUUUUCGACCUUGGCUAUAACCACAAAAGGUAAAUUUUCAUCCUUUAAGUUAUUUUCAGUUAUUUUGGGUUGUUUAUCCCAUCAUUUGUUGUUGUUUUUUUUUUUGGUGAUUAGGCUAAGUUUUGUGUCUGUUUCUAUUUAGCAUGUCUAUUCAUGUUUUACUUGUUAAUAGAUAAGGUAUGUAAUUAGUAGCUCAUAAGCCUGUUAUUAGUUUCAGAA